rnacentral:rRNA from 1 species
UACGUAGGGGGCAAGCGUUGUCCGGAUUUAUUGGGCGUAAAGAGCGUGUAGGCGGCCCGGUCAGUCCGCCGUGAAAGUCCAGGGCUCAACCCUGGAAUGCCGGUGGAUACUGCCGGGCUGGAGUCCGGAAGAGGCGAGUGGAAUUCCUGGUGUAGCGGUGAAAUGCGCAGAUAUCAGGAGGAACACCGAUGGCGAAGGCAGCUCGCUGGGACGGUACUGACGCUGAGACGCGAAAGCGUGGGGAGCAAACAGG